CGAUGAUCACCACUAGAGGGCGCCCUACAGCAAAUUGCAUGUGAUAUCCAUAGAUGAAAGAGACAUCAUAAUGUACAUCAUAAGACGUUUGUCUUUCUUAAUCUGAGUUAGUGUCUUUUUUAUGUUAAAACUAGGCAGCAUGGAAGCUCACACCAUACUCCUUUGCCGAAAACAACCUCUUUGCUGUGUAGCUAGCGCUCUAACAUGAGAGAUCUCCACAUCAAUUCAUGCUACUUGGGACCAAAGAUCAAUGGCUUUGUCUAGUUCCUGUGGUACAUCUUCUGAGAGUGCAAAAUUCAUACCUUUUGCAAGAAAGCAUCACAACUGGGGUAUGCAUGCAAUAGUAAUUGUUGAAAAACCCUGAAAGACAGCCUGGUUCCUAGUUGAUGUAAGGUUAAAAACCCUGGUGAGCCUGAUGGGAUGGUAGGC
rnacentral:lncRNA from 1 species